GUUAAUUUUCCGCAAUGGGCGAAAGCCUGACGGAGCAAUACCGCGUGAGGGACGACGGCUUUUGGGUUGUAAACCUCUUUUCCCUGGGAAGAAGAUCUGACGGUACCAGGGGAAUCAGCAUCGGCUAACUUCGUGCCAGCAGCCGCGGUAAUACGAGGGAUGCAAGCGUUAUCCGGAAUUAUUGGGCGUAAAGCGUCCGCAGGUGGCUUUGUAAGUCUGUCGUUAAAGCGUGGAGCUCAACUCCAUAUCGGCGAUGGAAACUACAAGACUAGAGUUUGGUAGGGGUCACGGGAAUUCCUAGUGUAGCGGUGAAAUGCGUAGAUAUUAGGAAGAACACCAGCGGCGAAAGCGCGUGACUGGGCCAAUACUGACACUCAUGGACGAAAGCUAGGGGAGCGAAAGGGAUUAGAUACCCCUGUAGUCCUAGCCGUAAACGAUGAUAACUAGGUGUUGCUCGUAUCGACCCGAGCAGUGCCGUAGCCAACGCGUUAAGUUAUCCG
rnacentral:rRNA from 1 species